UACGGAGGGGGCUAGCGUUGUUCGGAAUUACUGGGCGUAAAGCGCACGUAGGCGGCUUUGCAAGUCAGAGGUGAAAGCCCGGGGCUCAACCCCGGAAUAGCCUUUGAGACUGCAUCGCUAGAAUUGUGGAGAGGUAAGUGGAAUUCCGAGUGUAGAGGUGAAAUUCGUAGAUAUUCGGAAGAACACCAGUGGCGAAGGCGGCUCACUGGACCGGUAUUGACGCUGAGGUGCGAAAGCGUGGGGAGCAAACAGG
rnacentral:rRNA from 1 species